rnacentral:rRNA from 1 species
AAGAACGCUGGCGGCAGGCCUAAGACAUGCAAGUCGUACGCGAACGACCUUUCGGGGUUAAGUAGAGUGGCGAACGGGUUAGUAACGCGUGGGAACAUACACAGCACAGGGGGAUAACCAUUGGAAACGAUGGCUAAUACCGCAUACGCCCUAUUGGGGAAAGAUUUAUCGGUGUUGGAUUGGCCCGCGUUAGAUUAGCUAGUUGGUGGGGUAAUGGCUCACCAAGGCGACGAUUUAUAGCUGGUUUGAGAGGAUGAUCAGCAACACUGGAACUGAGACACGGUCCAGACUCCUACGGGAGGCAGCAGUCGGGAAUAUUGUGCAAUGGGGGCAACCCUGACACAGCCAUGCCGCGUGAGUGAAGAAGGCCUUAGGGUUGUAAAGCUCUUUCAGAUGUGAGGAUGAUGACGAUAGCAUCAGAAGAAGCUCCGGCUAACUUCGUGCCAGCAGCCGCGGUAAUACGAAGGGAGCUAGCGUUGUUCGGAAUUACUGGGCGUAAAGGGCGUGUAGGCGGAUUAUCAAGU